rnacentral:sRNA from 1 species
CGCCCGUCAAACCACGAAAGUGAGCAAUACCCAAAGCCGGUGGCCUAACCCGUAAGGGAGGGAGCCGUCUAAGGUAGGGUUCAUGAUUGGGGUUAAGUCGUAACAAGGUAUCCCUACGGGAACGUGGGGAUGGAUCACCUCCUUUCUAAGGAGAAAGGCUAACUAACACUUAGCAAAAAAGGCUACGUAGUCGUAGCAAACAAUUCUCUAAUUUGUUCAUCAUAUUCAGUUUUGAGAGACUUAAUCCAAGUGAUUGGUUUCUUAAGUAUCAAAUAAAGUCUUUGAAAAGUAGAUAAAUGAUGUCUGAAAAGAAAUAAAGGUUAAGGAAGAAAGGGCACGCAGUGAAUGCCUUGGCACCAAGAGACGAUGAAGGACGGAACUAACACCGAAAUGCCCGGAGAAGCUGUAAGUAAGCGACGAUCCCGGGAUGUCCGAAUGGGGGAACCCACCAUGUGGAAGACAUGGUACUCGAGCAAUCGAGAGUGAAACGCAGGGAACUGAAAUAUCUCACGUACCUGCAGGAAAAGAAAGUAAAAACGAUUCUGUAAGUAGCGACGAGCGAAAGCGGAGGAGCCAGAUACCUAAGGUUACAAAAUUCUAGGAUAGAUGAAUGCUGUGGGAAAAGCAGGCAAAGAGGGUGAGACCCCCGUAGUUGAAAUUCUAGGAUCCAUGGUAUCAGAAAGUAGGGCGGGACACGUGGAAUCCCGUUUGAAGAUAGGAGGACCAUCUCCUAAGGCUAAAUACUACUUGGUGACCGAUAGUGAACCA